rnacentral:rRNA from 1 species
AGCAGCCGCGGUAAUUCCAGCUCCAAUAGCGUAUAUUAAAGUUGUUGCAGUUAAAAAGCUCGUAGUUGAAUUUCGGGAUCAAUUUAUCGGUCGUGCCAAUGGUAUGAACUGGUACAAUUGGUUUCUCCCUUCUGACGAAGCAUGAUGUCAUUAAUUUGGUGUCGUGGGGAAUCAGGACUGUUACUUUGAAAAAAUUAGAGUGCUUAAAGCAAGCAUUAGCUUGAAUACAUUAGCAUGGAAUAAUGAAAUAGGACGUUUGAUCCUAUUUCGUUGGUUUCUAGGAUCGACGUAAUGAUUAAUAGGGAUAGUUGGGGGCAUUAGUAUUCAAUUGUCAGAGGUGAAAUUCUUGGAUUUAUUGAAGACUAACUACUGCGAAAGCAUUUGCCAAGGAUGUUUUCAUUAAUCAAGAACGAAAGUUAGGGGAUCGAAGACGAUCAGAUACCGUCGUAGUCUUAACCAUAAACUAUGCCGACUAGGGAUCGGAUGAUGUUAAUUUUUUAAUGACUCA